GCAUUGGUGGUUUAGUGGUAAAAUUGGCCGUUGCCAUGGUGGAGCCCUCCUCCCGGGUUCCCCUCCUGUCUCGGCCAGCCCCGGGUUCGAUUCCCGGCCGAUGCA